rnacentral:rRNA from 1 species
UACGUAGGGGGCUAGCGUUAUCCGGAUUCACUGGGUUUAAAGGGUACGUAGGUGGGUUGGUAAGUCAGUGGUGAAAUCCCCGAGCUUAACUUGGGAACUGCCAUUGAUACUAUUAAUCUUGAAUACUGUGGAGGUCAGCAGAAUAUGUCAUGUAGCGGUGAAAUGCUUAGAUAUGACAUAGAAUACCAAUUGCGAAGGCAGCUGGCUACACAAAUAUUGACACUGAGGCACGAAAGCGUGGGGAUCAAACAGG